GUGUCAGCAGCCGCGGUAAAACGUAGGUGGCGAGCGUUAUCCGGAUUUACUGGGCGUAAAGCGUGUGCAGGCGGACUGUCAAGUGGUGCAUGAAAUCGCUCGGCUUAACCGGGCGCGGGUGUGCCAGACUGAUGGUCUGGAGUGCGGGAGAGGGGCGUGGAAUUCCGGGUGUAGUGGUGAAAUGCGUAGAGAUCCGGAGGAACCCCAGAGGCGAAGGCGGCGCCCUGGCCCGACACUGACGCUCAGACACGACAGCAUGGGGAGCGAACGGGAUUAGAAACCCCCGUAGUCC
rnacentral:rRNA from 1 species